GACGAACGCUGGCGGCGUGCCUAACACAUGCAAGUCGAACGGAGAUACUUUUGAAGCUUGCGAUAAAGUAUCUUAGUGGCGGACGGGUGAGUAACGCGUGGGUAAUCUGCCCAUAAGUGGGGGACAACAGUUGGAAACGACUGCUAAUACCGCAUAUGGUGAUUUAUCAUUAAAGGAGGCCUCUUAACAAUGCUUCCGCUUAUGGAUGAGCCCGCGUCUGAUUAGCUAGUUGGUGGGGUAAAGGCCUACCAAGGCGACGAUCAGUAGCCGGCCUGAGAGGGUGAACGGCCACACUGGGACUGAGACACGGCCCAGACACCUACGGGUGGCUG
rnacentral:rRNA from 1 species